AUCCAGCUGAUGAGUCUCAAAUAGGAUGAAAUGCGCGUUAAACUGGAU
rfam:Schistosoma mansoni strain Puerto Rico chromosome 7, complete genome